AACAAUUGGAUAAAAAGCUCAAUUUUAUUCAAUAGAAUGGUAGCCUGUAAAUGCCAGGACUCCAUGCAUCUUUAGAACAAGUUGAAAAUGGUAAUUUACAUUGAAAAGGGCUACAUUGAAUACAAUGAUCACCACUCUCCCUAUUGACUCCAAUAUCCACUGUGCUCUUGGCUUUGGUCGAGAAUGACGAAUCAGAAACAAAUGAUUUACUCAAAACUGUCUCCAAUGAUCAGGACCAACCGAAUGUAG
rnacentral:lncRNA from 1 species